UGGAUUUUCCAGCAAAAAACAACUAUUAAAACGGAAGAGUGGAGGAAGGCCAGCUGCCCAGUCCCUCCUCUGCCUGCAGACUCUCUAAGUAAAGAAAACCAUCUGGUCUGCUGGGCCUGAGCCCAGGGCCCAGAGGAGGACCGCUAGUCCCUCUGAGCAACACUGCUUACUCCCCUGCCAGCCCCGUGGGCUUCUCCCAGCCUCGCUUGCUCCCACCUGGGACCAGACCCCUGGAAGCCUCUACCGAUGCCCAGGCAGGGGUGGCCUGUGCCAUCAUAGCGCUGGAAGAAAGGGUUUUGUUUUAUCUUACAACUCAGUUCACAUUCCAUCACUGAGGUUUCUGAGAUUAUCUUUAGUGAAGUGAUCUGAGCUGGUCACAGAGCCAGUCCUGGCUUACAUGGUCUUACACAAGAUGCUACACAUGUUGCCGUCUUCAGGUGACAUUGGAUUCGGGAGUUGAGUUGCAGAUUUUCCAUCUUUUCAUGCACUGGAAAAGGCUGGAGUGAUGCCAGGCUGACUUCUUCCAGCUCUGAGUCAGAGGCGGGCCAGCGUGAGCGUCUCUGCUUCUGCAGUGAUGCCCCGGACUGAUUGUUUCUAAGCACCUUUCCAGUUUCUCGUGUUCAUCUUGUUGUGUUUUCCUGACUCAGUAACUCCAGCCAUUUGAAUCUACUGAGGAUCACCUGUGUGCCGCAGGCUUCCUAAAAGGCUCAGGCUCUCAAGCUCCGACAUCGUGACCCCUUCUGGAGUUUUCCCUCUUCGUGACUCUUCUUCCUGCCCCUGAUUGCAUAUGUAUCUAAGUGUCAACCUUUAGCAAGUCCUGGACAGUGAUGGUUGUCCUGCACCGGGCUUUCUGGCAGACACAAUUGGCUUCAGGAAGAAGAAUAACUUUGCCUCUUGUUUUCUACUUCAUGCCU